rnacentral:hammerhead_ribozyme from 1 species
AUCCAGCUGUCGAGUCCCGAAUAGGACGAAACGCGCGUCCUGGAU